AUUUGUCACAGUUGGAACAGCUCCUAGAGAUCGUGUUGUCAGAUCUUCUCUCAGUGUUCAGAUAAUGAAACAAAGCCCAGAGAGGGCAAGAGACUCAUGGGGAAUUGCACAGCAAGUGAGAGGCAGAACAAAACUGACAGGCUCCGGCCCCAGCCAUUUCACGUUAUUCCAGUCCACCUCUUCAGAAUCUCAGAAGGCCAGCCUCAAGGGACUCCCCUCACGAGGCACCAUCUACCUGCAAGGCUCUUCCGCCAGCACUUCAGGGCACUGCUGCUCCUCCCCUUCCGGCCUCAGCUCAGAUGUCCCCUCCUCAGGGAGGCCGCCCCUCCUGCCUUGUCUGAAGCACCCUCUAAUCACUCUCCAUCACAUUCUCUCACAUCCUCCAUUGUUUUCUCCUCAGAGCUCUGAUCAGUACCUGCAAAGAUCUCCUAUCAGAGUUUAAUUUGCAUUUUUGUUGUCGCUCCCACCAGAAUGCGAGCUCCAUCUCCCACCAGAAUGCGAGCUCCACCAGGCAGUGACCGCGUCUGUGUGUCUCACUCGCCUCAACCUCUCCAGUAACCUCGCCAGUACCGGCACAUAGAGGCGCCCCGCAUGUCUGCGCAUGUGGAGUGAAGGGAUGAAGGGAUUUCAGGGACUUCCAAUGGUCCCUAAACAAGAGCACAGUUUUCAUUUCUUUCAGCACAGAUCCACUUUGCAUCUUCUGGAAUUUCACGCGAAUGGAAGCUUACGGAGCGUCCUCUUUGGCGUCUGCCUUCUUUUCCUCAGCAUCAAGCUCCACGCUCAGCAUCCGUGUUGAGUCUCCUGUCUUCUGCCAGCAUCCAUAAAACUGCGGUGGGCUCACUUGCUAGCUUGCAGCCACCACCACUCCGUCAGACAGCCGGUGUCUCACCGGGCCCCUCGCCGGUGCUGAGUAAGCAUUAAUUUCACCACGCCAGAAAGUUGAAUCUGAGAGCACAUCCUUUCAAUAGAGGUAACAGCAAGAGCAGGCUUGUGAGUAGGAGCAGUCAGUGAAGACUGAAACGCCCGGGUCGCUGCACAUGCCUGGGGCCGGGGAGCUGAGCAGCAGCCGAAGGCAGGGACACACACUCACUCCUGCGUCGCAGCUGCGGUAGCUGCAGCCUCAGCUGGGACGCAUCUGGCUGCAAAUCAACAGGCGAUUCCUGUGCCCACUGCCUUUUAUCCCCAUGGCUGUUCUACCUACAGCUCUGCGUUCGGGAAUGGAGCCAGAGCCGUCGGAAGGGAUGGGCAGG
rnacentral:lncRNA from 1 species